UACGUAGGGUGCGAGCGUUGUCCGGAAUUAUUGGGCGUAAAGGGCUCGUAGGCGGUUUGUCGCGUUGUUCGUGAAAACUCACAGCUUAACUGUGGGCGUGCGGGCGAUACGGGCAGACUGGAGUACUGCAGGGGAGACUGGAAUUCCUGGUGUAGCGGUGGAAUGCGCAGAUAUCAGGAGGAACACCGGUGGCGAAGGCGGGUCUCUGGGCAGUAACUGACGCUGAGGAGCGAAAGCGUGGGGAGCGAACAGG
rnacentral:rRNA from 1 species